rnacentral:rRNA from 1 species
AUACGGAGGGUGCAAGCGUUACUCGGAAUCACUGGGCGUAAAGCGCGCGCAGGCGGUCUUUUAAGUUGGAUGUGAAAGCCUACGGCUCAACCGUAGAACUGCAUCCAAAACUAUUAGACUAGAGUGUGGGAGAGGAAGAUGGAAUUAGUUGUGUAGGGGUAAAAUCCGUAGAGAUAACUAGGAAUACCAAAAGCGAAGGCAAUCUUCUGGAACACUACUGACGCUGAGGCGCGAAGGCGUGGGGAGCAAACAGGAGUAGAAACCCGAGUAGUCC